rnacentral:rRNA from 1 species
GAUGAACGCUGGCGGCGUGCCUAAUACAUGCAAGUCGAGCGAACAGACGAGGAGCUUGCUCCUCUGACGUUAGCGGCGGACGGGUGAGUAACACGUGGAUAACCUACCUAUAAGACUGGGAUAACUUCGGGAAACCGGAGCUAAUACCGGAUAAUAUAUUGAACCGCAUGGUUCAAUAGUGAAAGACGGUUUUGCUGUCACUUAUAGAUGGAUCCGCGCCGCUUUAGCUAGUUGGUAAGGUACCGGCUUACCAAGGCAACGAUGCGUAGCCGACCUGAGAGGGUGAUCGGCCACACUGGAACUGAGACACGGUCCAGACUCCUACGGGAGGCAGCAGUAGGGAAUCUUCCGCAAUGGGCGAAAGCCUGACGGAGCAACGCCGCGUGAGUGAUGAAGGUCUUCGGAUCGUAAAACUCUGUUAUUAGGGAAGAACAAUUGUGUAAGUAACUAUGCACGUCUUGACGGUACCUAAUCAGAAAGCCACGGCUAACUACGUG